AUGAACGCUGGCGGCGUGCUUAACCCAUGCCAGUCGAACGCUGAAGCCCAGCUUGCUGGGUGGAUUAGUGGCGAACGGGUGAGUAACACGUGAGUAACCUGCCCUUAACUCUGGGAUAAGCCUGGGAAACUGGGUCUAAUACCGGAUAGGAGCGCCUACCGCAUGGUGGGUGUUGGAAAGAUUUAUCGGUUUUGGAUGGACUCGCGGCCUAUCAGCUUGUUGGUGAGGUAAUGGCUCACCAAGGCGACGACGGGUAGCCGGCCUGAGAGGGUGACCGGCCACACUGGGACUGAGACACGGCCCAGACUCCUACGGGAGGCAGCAGUGGGGAAUAUUGCACAAUGGGCGAAAGCCUGAUGCAGCGACGCCGCGUGAGGGAUGACGGCCUUCGGGUUGUAAACCUCUUUCAGUAGGGAAGAAGCGAAAGUGACGGUACCUGCAGAAGAAGCACCGGCUAACUACGUG
rnacentral:rRNA from 1 species